rnacentral:rRNA from 1 species
UACGAAGGGGGGCUAGCGUUGCUCGGAAUUACUGGGCGUAAAGCGCACGUAGGCGGCUUUCUAAGUCGGGGGUGAAAUCCUGGAGCUCAACUCCAGAACUGCCUUCGAUACUGGAAAGCUCGAGUCCCGGGGAGAGGUGAGUGGAACUGCGAGUGUAGAGGUGAAAUUCGUAGAUAUUCGCAAGAACACCAGUGGCGAAGGCGGCUCACUGGCCCGGUACUGACGCUGAGGUGCGAAAGCGUGGGGGAGCAAACAGG